rnacentral:rRNA from 1 species
UGGGGAAUUUUGGACAAUGGGGGCAACCCUGAUCCAGCAACGCCGCGUGAGGGAUGAAGGCUUUCGGGUCGUAAACCUCUUUUACAGGGGACGAAUCUGUCCGUGAAUAACGGACCAUGACGGUACCCUGUGAAUAAGCCACGGCUAACUACGUGCCAGCAGCCGCGGUAAUACGUAGGUGGCAAGCGUUAUUCGGAAUUACUAGGCGUAAAGCGCAGGUAGGUGGCUUGAUAAGUCCGUAAUGAAAUCUCCCGGCUUAACUGGGAGGGGUUUAGGGAUACUGUCAGGCUUGAGUGUGGGAGAGGUAACUGGAAUUCCUGGUGUAGCGGUGAAAUGCGUAGAGAUCAGGAGGAACACCUAUGGCGAAAGCAGGUUACUGGCCCAAUACUGACACUGAGCUGCGAAAGCUAGGGGAGCAAACAGGAUUAGAUACCCUAGUAGUCCCUGAGCGGGCUGGCAAGGCGCAU